rnacentral:rRNA from 1 species
CACGUAGGCGGAUUGUUAAGUCGGGGGUGAAAUCCCGGGGCUCAACCCCGGAACUGCCUUCGAUACUGGCAAUCUAGAGUUCUGGAGAGGUGAGUGGAAUUCCGAGUGUAGAGGUGAAAUUCGUAGAUAUUCGGAGGAACACCAGUGGCGAAGGCGGCUCACUGGCCAGACACUGACGCUGAGGUGCGAAAGCGUGGGGAGCAAACA